GUUUGCUUUGGCAGGACAUAUACUACAACUGGAACAAUAUAGAGAAGAUUAGCAUGUCUCCUGUGCAAGGAUGACAUGCAAAUUAAUGAAGCAUUCCAUGUUUUU